rnacentral:misc_RNA from 1 species
UGGAAAGGGUAUGGUAUACUUUGUGUUUUAUGUGUUUUUUUAAUAAUUGAACUCUAGUUAUUUUAGUUGAAACCAGCAGAAGAUCGUUGAAAAUAAAUUGUAACUAAAAAUAAUUCUUAUUAAGAGCAUAUAUUCAAAUUAUUGCAAAUCUUAAACUCUGUAAUCUUUGAUUAAUUUUCUAUUGUUUUUCUCUCACCUAGAUGCUCUAAAUUUGAAUGCCAUGUAUAUUUUCUUAGUCUUACACUUGAUCAGGGUUGAGAACCCUUCAACUUUACAGUGUUGCUUUAUAUUCUUAUUCAUUAUUAGGCCAAAUACAUAAAUUGCCCCUUGUACUUUCAU